UGGUGAUUAUAGCAGUAUGAAUAGACCUCUUCCCAUUCCGAACAGAGAAGUCAAACAUACUUGCGCCGAUGGUACUGCAUUCAUGUGGGAGAGUAGGACGUUGCCA
rnacentral:rRNA from 1 species